UACGUAGGGGGCAAGCGUUGUCCGGAAUCAUUGGGCGUAAAGGGCGCGUAGGCGGCUUUGCAAGUGACGGGUGAAAUCCCUCGGCUUAACCGAGGAACUGCCUGUCAAACUGCAUGGCUUGAGACCGGGAGAGGUGAGUGGAAUUCCCAGUGUAGCGGUGAAAUGCGUAGAUAUCUGGAGGAACACCGGUGGCGAAGGCGGCAUCCUGGACCGACACUGACGCUGAGGAGCGAAAGCCAGGGGAGCAAACGGG
rnacentral:rRNA from 1 species